AUGGAACUCCAGGGGAAAGGACAGGUGAAAGAAGUCCAGAGCCUCAGACAUCACGAGAGCACACAGGCAGAACCCUCUGCUUACCACAGCUCUUCAGACUCAUCCCCAGACCUGUACCUGCCCCAGCCCACACCUACCUUCUCCUGUCAUGGCUUAGAAAAGGAGAAAGCGUAUGCCAUUCUCAGAAAAACGAAAUGCCAUAAACUACCUGGUAUCUGUUCCUUAAACCUGUCCUCGGGACUCGGUCCCAGACAACAUCAGUUUCUGAAUUUACUCGGCCCUCGGUGGAGCCUCAGCUUGGGUGUCGAGCAGAACGAGGAUUCUACCAAAAGCGGAGCACCGCGAACAGCAGCAGGGCGCUUUCAACCUGACACCACUUUCUCCCCGGACACUCUCCCGGGAGGGUCAAUAGAAAGCAUCCGAAAGGAACCAGAAGCCGAGCAGGGCAGCCCUCUUCCAAGUCCCGAACCCAGAGUUCAGGCGCCUCUCGGGUCCCACCCGCCUGACCUUGGCCAGGGCACUCCCAACCCUGCCACUCUCUCGGUCCGCACACGCGGGGAAGCCGGGCUGUGCGGGAGCGAGCGGCGCGGAUGGGGCGGACACGGCCCUGGAGGCGCGCCGCUCCGACAGGCGUCGCCACCGGGAUCCCCGACAGGGGCCGAGCCACGGCGACGGCAGCGAGGACACCAGGGGCUGUGGGCCUUGGCGGGGACCCGCAGGGCUGGCGUCGGGCGCAGAGGAACCCGCGCACAGAAAUGUCUGCUGAACAUCACAGGCCUCCUUCCUUGCUCAGUCAGACUCAAAAGACAAACCGCAGGAACAGUUCCUGAGAGUUAAAACAAAACAACAACAACAACAACAACAACAACAACAACAACAAAGCCAGCUCUUUUCUACUGUUUGGUGUAAACGUGAACUAGAGCCAAGAGAGAAUCAGAGCUUUGCCUCUGUAGCUGCAUUGGAGAAGCUGGUUCAUGGCCCUCUGCCACACCCACACUCCUGGCAACCAGCUUGUGAUAGGAAGAAUGGUUCCUGGUAAUUACCCAGGGCUGGUUGGGUUAAGGGACUUGCCAGACUACAAAUGAGGUGGCUGAAGUCUCCUUCAGGAACUAUGGCUUGCUCAGCACAAUCCUGCUCCAGGAAUGAAUGUAAAAGACUGUUGUUCUGGAGGGAUUGGUGCCUGGGCAGGUGCAAGAAAAGUAAGAUUUCCAAGUGGUUCAGCAACCAGCCAGAAUCCCAGGCUGAGA